ensembl:snRNA U6 U6 spliceosomal RNA
GUGCCGGCUUUGACAGCACAUACACCGAAAUUGGAAUGAUGCAGAAAUGAGCAUGGCCCCUGCGCAAGGAUGACACGCAGAUUCGUGACACGUUCCAUAUUUUU